UACGGAGGGUGCAAGCGUUAUCCGGAUUUACUGGGUUUAAAGGGUGUGUAGGCGGACUUUUAAGUCAGUGGUGAAAUCUCCGAGCUUAACUCGGAAACUGCCGUUGAUACUAUUGUCUUGAUAUUGUGGAGGUAAGCGGAAUAUGUCAUGUAGCGGUGAAAUGACUUAGAUAUGACAUAGAACACCAAUUGCGAAAGGCAGCUUACUACACCAACGAUUGACGCUGAGGCACGAAAGCGUGGGGGAUCAAACAGG
rnacentral:rRNA from 1 species